AGAGUUUGAUCCUGGCUCAGGAUGAACGCUGGCGGCGUGCCUAAUACAUGCAAGUCGAACGCGGGCACUUGUGCCCGAGUGGCGAACGGGUGAGUAAUACAUAAGUAACCUGGCCUUUACAGGGGGAUAACUGCUGGAAACGGCAGCUAAGACCGCAUAGGUAGGGACACUGCAUGGUGACCGUAUUAAAAGUGCUGCAAGGCACUGGUAGAGGAUGGACUUAUGGCGCAUUAGCUGGUUGGUGAGGUAACGGCUCACCAAGGCGACGAUGCGUAGCCGACCUGAGAGGGUGACCGGCCACACUGGGACUGAGACACGGCCCAGACUCCUACGGGAGGCAGCAGUAGGGAAUUUUCGGCAAUGGGGGGAACCCUGACCGAGCAACGCCGCGUGAAGGAAGAAGGAAUUCGUUCUGUAAACUUCUGUUAUAAAGGAAGAAAGACGGAUGGAGGAAAUGACAUCCGAGUGACGGUACUUUAUGAGAAAGCCACGGCUAACUACGUGCCAGCAGCCGCGGUAAUACGUAGGUGGCAAGCGUUAUCCGGAAUUAUUGGGCGUAAAGAGGGAGCAGGCGGCAGCAAAGGUCUGUGGUGAAAGACUGAAGCCUAACUUCAGUAAGCCAUAGAAACCGGGCAGCUAGAGUGCAGGAGAGGAUCGUGGAAUUCCAUGUGUAGCGGUGAAAUGCGUAGAUAUAUGGAGGAACACCAGUGGCGAAGGCGACGAUCUGGCCUGCAACUGACGCUCAGUCCCGAAAGCGUGGGGAGCAAAUAGGAUUAGAUACCCUAGUAGUCCACGCCGUAAACGAUGAGUAUUAAGUGUUGGAAGUCAAAUUUCAGUGCUGCAGUAAACGCAGUGAGUCCUCCGCCUGGGGAGUAUGCACGCAAGUGUGAAACUCAAAGGAAUUGACGGGGGCCCGCACAAGCGGUGGAGUAUGUGGUUUAAUUCGAAGCAACGCGAAGAACCUUACCAGGCCUUGACAUGGGAUGCGAAGAUGCAGAGAUGCAUCGGAGGUCAACAUCCACACAGGUGGUGCAUGGUUGUCGUCAGCUCGUGUCGUGAGAUGUUGGGUCAAGUCCCGCAACGAGCGCAACCCUUGUGGCAUGUUGCUAACAGGAAAAGCUGAGGACUCAUGCCAGACUGCCGGUGACAAACCGGAGGAAGGCGGGGAUGACGUCAAAUCAUCAUGCCCCUUAUGGCCUGGGCUACACACGUACUACAAUGGCGGCUACAAAGAGCAGCGAGACAGGGAUGUCGAGCGAAUCUCAUAAAAGCCGUCCCAGUUUGGAUUGGAGGCUGCAACCCGCCUCCAUGAAGUUGGAAUCGCUAGUAAUCGCGGAUCAGCAUGCCGUGGUGAAUACGUUACCGGGCCUUGCACACACCGCCCGUCAA
rnacentral:rRNA from 1 species